GACGUAGGGCGCGAGCGUUGUCCGGAUUUAUUGGGCGUAAAGAGCUCGUAGGCGGCUCGGUAAGUCAGGUGUGAAAACUCUAGGCUCAACCUAGAGACGCCACCUGAUACUGCUGUGGCUAGAGUCCGGUAGGGGAGCAUGGAAUUCCUGGUGUAGCGGUGAAAUGCGCAGAUAUCAGGAGGAACACCAGUGGCGAAGGCGGUGCUCUGGGCCGGAACUGACGCUGAGGAGCGAAAGCGUGGGGAGCAAACAGG
rnacentral:rRNA from 1 species